UUACUCAGAGCCAACAGGUACCUUAAGAAAGGGUUCACUCUUCCCAGUGCCAACGGUCUUGGUGUGCUGAAUCCCAAAGUCACGAUGGAGCAGGGGUACCUACUCAUUGCAACAGAUCUGAGCAUGGAGCCAGAAAGGCUGAGAGAAAGCAUCUUUGCCCCUGGCUCAUCGCAGUAACAGAUCCAGCAUGGCUCCCCUCUGGAAUAGAUGCCCUCGGAUUUUUGGGGUCCUCCUGGGCAGUGAUUGUAUGAGCUGCCGCGGGGUUGGAGUUGCGGCUGCGAGUUCUUC
rnacentral:lncRNA from 1 species